CCCUAUGCUGCCAAGAAAAGCAUCGGCGCGAGGUUUUAGCGGCCCGUACCCCAAACCGACACAGGUGGUCAGGUAGAGAAUACUCAGGAGAUCGAGAGAAUCAUGGUGAAGGAACUCGGCAAAAUGCCCCCGUAACUUCGGGAGAAGGGGGGCCAUCCACUUAUUAGGACUUGCUCCGAAAGGGUGUGGUGGCCGCAGAGACCAGUGGGAAGCGACUGUUUACUAAAAACACAGGUCCGUGCGAACAUGCAAAUGGAUGUAUACGGACUGACGCCUGCCCGGUGCUGGAAGGUUAAGAGGAGAGGUUAGACCUUUGGGUCGAAGCUUUGAAUUUAAGCCCCAGUAAACGGCGGUGGUAACUAUAACCAUCCUAAGGUAGCGAAAUUCCUUGUCGGGUAAGUUCCGACCUGCACGAAUGGCGUAACGACUUCCCAGCUGUCUCCACCAUGAACUCGGCGAAAUUGCAGUACGAGUAAAGAUGCUCGUUACGCGCAGAAGGACGGAAAGACCCCGUGACCUUUACUACAGCUUGGUAUUGGUGUUCGGUGUGGCUUGUGUAGGAUAGGUGGGAGACUAUGAGACUGCAACGCUAGUUGUGGUGGAGUCGUUGUUGAAAUACCACUCUGGUCAUACUGGAUGUCUAACUACGGACCCUGAUCGGGUUCAGGGACAGUGCCUGGUGGGUAGUUUAACUGGGGCGUUGCCUCCCAAAAUGUAACGGAGGCGCCCAAAGGUUCCCUCAACCUGGUUGGCAAUCAGGUGGCGAGUGUAAGUGCACAAGGGAGCUUGACUGUGAGACUGACAGGUCGAGCAGGGACGAAAGUCGGGACUAGUGAUCCGGCAGUGGCUUGUGGAAGCGCUGUCGCUCAACGGAUAAAAGGUACCUCGGGGAUAACAGGCUGAUCUUGCCCAAGAGUCCAUAUCGACGGCAUGGUUUGGCACCUCGAUGUCGGCUCGUCGCAUCCUGGGGCUGGAGUAGGUCCCAAGGGUUGGGCUGUUCGCCCAUUAAAGCGGUACGCGAGCUGGGUUUAGAACGUCGUGAGACAGUUCGGUCCCUAUCCUCUGCGCGCGUUGGAGAUUUGAGAGGAUCUGACCCUUGUACGAGAGGACCGGGUUGGACGGACCUCUGGUGUGCCAGUUGUUCUGCCAAGGGCAUGGCUGGUUUGCUACGUUCGGGAUGGAUAACCGCUGAAAGCAUCUAAGCGGGAAGCCGGCCUCAAGAUGAGAUCUCCAUGCACCUUCGAGUGCGUGAGGCUCCCAGGAGAUUACUGGGUUGAUAGGCCAGAUGUGGAAGUGGGGUAACUCAUGGAGCUGACUGGUACUAAUAAGCCGAUGACUUGA
rnacentral:rRNA from 1 species